UACGUAGGGUGCGAGCGUUAAUCGGAAUUACUGGGCGUAAAGCGUGCGCAGGCGGUUCGUUAAGUUCGUUGUGAAAGCCCCGGGCUCAACCUGGGAACUGCAAUGGAAACUGGCGGGCUUGAAUGCGGCAGAGGGGGGUAGAAUUCCACGUGUAGCAGUGAAAUGCGUAGAUAUGUGGAGGAACACCGAUGGCGAAGGCAGCCCCCUGGGUCAAGACUGACGCUCAUGCACGAAGCGUGGGAGCAAACAGG
rnacentral:rRNA from 1 species